UGGCUCAGUGGUAGAGUGCUUGUCUCACAUGCAAGAGGCCCUGGGUUCGAUUCCUCAG
rnacentral:tRNA from 1 species